GAUGAACGCUGGCGGCGUGCUUAACACAUGCAAGUCGAACGGGAAUUAUUUUAUUGACACUUCGGUCGAUUUAAUUUAAUUCUAGUGGCGGACGGGUGAGUAACGCGUGGGUAACCUGCCUUAUACAGGGGGAUAACAGUCAGAAAUGGCUGCUAAUACCGCAUAAGCGCACAGAGCUGCAUGGCUCAGUGUGAAAAACUCCGGUGGUAUAAGAUGGACCCGCGUUGGAUUAGCUGGUUGGUGGGGUAACGGCCCACCAAGGCGACGAUCCAUAGCCGGCCUGAGAGGGGGAACGGCCACAGUGGGACUGAGACACGGCCCAGACUCCUACGGGAGGCAGCAGUGGGGAAUAUUGCACAAUGGGGGAAACCCUGAUGCAGCGACGCCGCGUGAAGGAAGAAGUAUCUCGGGAUGUAAACUUCUAUCAGCAGGGAAGAUAGUGACGGUACCUGACGAAGAAGCCCCGGCUAACUACGUG
rnacentral:rRNA from 1 species